rnacentral:lncRNA from 1 species
CGUUAGGGUCACAUAAUCAAUUACCUCCUGAAUGUAUUAUCUCUAUUUCUAAUAUCUGAACACACAAGGAAACUAUAAUCUCUUCCUUCACCUUAUCGGUCUCUUCUUUAGAGCAAUUCAGUCCUACCAAUAACUGCUAUUUCUACUAAUAUAUUCACCCUCAUAAUCUCCAACUAUAAUACUGCACCCUCACAGUUUUCAGCACACAAUUACCCUCAUUCCAAUCACUGGAAUUCUUCACACAGAGUUGCCAUUCACAUUAUGGUGUUUCACACAAAUACAGACUCAUUCUCUCUACUGAACUACAAUCAGAUUUCAGCAUUCAAUCUUUCUUCUUCUCAAAUAAUACCAAUCACAUUUCCAUUCCAUAAUUCACUUCAUAAUAUUCAAAAACUCUCAAUCCUCUUAUUCAAAGAAAAUAACAAAUAAAAGAAAAGGGGUAGCACCAAGCUUAUCCCGGCUCUCACUAUCACAGCAAUGGCCCUCGGCUCAUGACUAUUUUAGUUUGGCACCUUAAUUAACUUCUACAACUCCUAUAUACUUUCUCCUGAUUCUCCAGAUUCUAA